GCUUAGCCCUAAACAUUGAUAGCACCCCACACAAGCUAUUCGCCAGGGGACUACAAGCAUAAGCUUAAAACCCAAAGGACUUGGCGGUGCUUAAGAUCCACCUAGAGGAGCCUGUUCUAGAACCGAUACCCCCCGUUCAACCUCACCCUCUCUUGACCCUUCCCGCCUGUAUACCGCCGUCGUCAGCUUACCCUGUAAAGGAACCAUAGUAAGCAAAACUGGCACAGCCUAAAACGUCAGGUCGAGGUGCAGCACAUGAGAGGGGAAGAAAUGGGCUACAUUGACUACUUUAGUGAAUACAAACAAUGCACUGAAACGCGCAUCCAAAGGAGGAUUUAACAGUAAGCAAAGAAUAGAGCGCUCUGCUGAAGUUGGCUCUAAAGCGCGCACACACCGCCCGUCAUUCUCCCCUAAUUAAUCUUUCAUAAUAAUUAAAAUACCCCCUCCACAAAGGGGAGGCAAGUCGUAACAUGGUAAGUGUACCGGAAGGUGUACUUGGACAAACAGGACGUAGCUAAACACUAAAGCAUCUCCUUUACACCGAGAGACUGUCCGUGCAAAUCGGAUCGCCCUGAGCUGAAUAGCUAGCCCAACUACCUAAACCCAAAAAUCCAUCAAUAACCCCUUAUACACAACCAUAAGAUUAAUCAAACCAUUCUCCCCCUCAAGUACGGGCGACGGAAACAGGAACACGGAGCCAUAGACAAAGUACCGCAAGGGAACGCUGAAAGAGCAAUGAAACAGUCCAGUAAAGCAAUAAAAAGCAGAGACUAAACCUCGUACCUUUUGCAUCAUGAUUUAGCCAGUACACCCAGGCAAAAAGAAUUUUAGUCUGACACCCCGAAACUAAGUGAGCUACUCCAAGACAGCCUAACAUAUAAGGGCCAACCCGUCUCUGUGGCAAAAGAGUGGGAAGAACUUUGAGUAGAGGUGAUAAAUCUACCGAACUUAGUAAUAGCUGGUUGCCUAAGAAAUGAAUAAAAGUUCAGCCUUUCAGCUUCUCUCCUCACACGGCCCAUGGCCCUAAUCAGACACAAAGAAACUGAAAGAGUUACUCGAAGGGGGUACAGCCCCUUUGAACCAAGAAACAACUUUUACAGGCGGGUAAAGAUCAAAAUAACUUAAGGAGACAUGUCUAAGUGGGCCUAAAAGCAGCCACCUAAGCAGAAAGCGUUAAAGCUCAGACAUAUUCCCCCCCCCCCCAAUCCCGAUAACACCCUCUCAUCCCCCUCUCCCUUAUUAGGCUAUUUUAUGCAAACAUAAAAGCACCCAUGCUAAUAUGAGUAAUAAGAAAAGCAAAGCUUUUCUCCCAGCACGCACAUACAUCGAAACGGACCUUCCAUCGAACAUUACCGGCCCCAAACAAAGAGGGCAAACGAACACUAAGUAAACAACCAGAAAAUCCUCCAAAAAUAACCGUUAAGCCUACACUGGCGUGCUCACUAGGAAAGACUAAAAGAAAAAGAAGGAACUCGGCAAACACACCGGCCUCGCCUGUUUACCAAAAACAUCGCCUCUUGCCAGCUAAAAAUAAGAGGUCCCACCUGCCCAGUGACAUUACGUUCAACGGCCGCGGUAUUCUAACCGUGCAAAGGUAGCGCAAUCACUUGUCUUUUAAAUGAAGACCUGUAUGAAUGGCAUGACGAGGGCCAAGCUGUCUCCUUUUUCUAGUCAAUGAAAUUGAUCCCCCCGUGCAGAAGCGGGGCUAUACCCAUAAGACGAGAAGACCCUGUGGAGCUUUAGACACCAGGAACAGACCUUGUUCAACGUCCCCCAAUAAAAGGAGGCCAACUAAAGGGCCCUGCUCUGAUGUCUUUGGUUGGGGCGACCCUGGAGAACACAAAACCUCCACGCGGAGCAGGAGAACUCCUCCCACAACUAAGAGCCGCUACUCUAAGUAAUAGAAUCUCUAACCUAAAGAUCCGGCAAAGCCGAAUAACGAACCGAGUUACCCCAGGGAUAACAGCGCAAUCCCCUUUCAGAGUCCCUAUCGACAAGGGGGUUUACGACCUCGAUGUUGGAUCAGGACAUCCUAAUGGUGCAGCCGCUAUUAAGGGUUCGUUUGUUCAACGAUUAAAGUCCU
rnacentral:misc_RNA from 1 species